AAUCAACGCUGGCGGCGUGCCUCAGACAUGCAAGUCGAACGAUUAAAGCUCUCUUCGGAGAGUGCAUAAAGUGGCGCACGGGUGAGUAACACGUAAGUAAUCUACCUUCGAGUGGGGAAGUAACGUCCGGAAACGGACGCUAAUACCGCAUAACGCAGCGGCAUCGCAAGAUGACAGUUGUUAAAGAUUAUUCGCUUGAAGAGGAGCUUGCGGCAGAUAGCUUGUUGGUAAGGUAACGGCUUACCAAGGCUACGAUCUGUAUCCGGUCUAAGAGGACGGUCGGACACACUGACACU
rnacentral:rRNA from 1 species